rnacentral:misc_RNA from 1 species
UAGAAAGCGUUUAUUGCGCGUGUGCGAACCGCGCCGAGGGGUGGUUGGUCGAUGGUCCGAUGUGCGAACUCGAAAAUUGCAAAUUCGGGUGAAAUAUUUCUAUGUUUUUUGCUCGAUCUCAGAUUAAACGUUAAAGAUAGUUUAUUAUUUACAUCAUCUUGAAAAAGAAAACGUGGAACUCGGGAGCUGCCACCGCUAAGCAAACGGGUGCCCGAGUCUUUUCUAGGGGCGCACAAAAACGACACGCGGUUGUCGAAAAAUGGCGAAAACCUUUCGCUCGUUGUCAGUAUUGACUUUGUUUAAUAAUGGACAGACAACGUCAAAGUUUCUUGAACCAGUUGCCCUUGUCGUUAAUUACGACCCACAAGGACUCAGCCUCGAAUUCAUCUUAGAUGAUUCUACUUUAAAAGAAAAAGUUUCAUUAUUAGAAUUUCCUGUAACUCAUACUACUGAAUGCUCUAGGGUUUCAUCCCGAAGUUAUGUUUUUACAUUGGAUACAGAUACUUUGUUAGUCACAUUUCACUCUGAUGCAGAUUUUCGAAGCUUUCAUUCGCUAAUAGUAAAAUUAAGAAAUGGAAAGUGCGGUGGUAUCUCGGCAUUUAAUGACAGAACGGAAGAGUCAUCGGCUAUGCAAUAUUUUCAAUUUUAUGGUUAUUUAUCACAGCAACAAAAUAUGAUGCAAGAUUAUAUAAGAACGAGCACUUAUCAACGUGCAAUUCUCGGCAAUUUAUCUGACUUUAAAGACAAAGUUGUAUUAGAUGUAGGUGCCGGUUCUGGUAUUUUAUCAUUUUUUGCAAUUCAAGCUGGUGCAAAAAAAGUCUAUGCUGUAGAAGCAAGCAAUAUGGCAAAUCAUGCAGAAUUAUUAGUUGCUGCUAAUAAUUUAUCGGAUAAGAUUAUAGUAAUAGCUGGAAAAAUCGAAGAAAUAGAUCUACCAGAACAUGUUGAUUGCAUAGUCAGUGAACCUAUGGGCUACAUGUUGUAUAAUGAAAGAAUGCUUGAAACUUAUCUUCAUGCCAAGAAAUGGCUAGUACCAGGUGGAAGAAUGUUUCCUUCCAGAGGAGACUUGCAUAUCGCGCCAUUUUCCGAUGAAAAUCUUUACAUGGAACAAUUUAAUAAAGCCAAUUUCUGGUAUCAAACAUGUUUCCAUGGUGUAGAUCUCUCUGCAAUGAGAAGUAAUGCAGUUAAAGAAUAUUUCCGCCAACCUAUUGUUGAUACCUUUGAUAUAAGAAUUUGUAUGGCUAAAUCUGUUAGGCAUAUCGUAGAUUUCCAGACAGCUAAAGAGACUGAUUUACAUAAAAUAGCUAUAGAUGUUGACUUUCACAUAUUAGAAAGUGGUACAUGCCAUGGUCUUGCAUUCUGGUUUGACGUGGCGUUUAUUGGUAGUGCUCAACAAGUUUGGUUAAGUACUGCUCCUACAGAACCUCUUACACAUUGGUAUCAAGUGCGUUGUCUUCUUGAAAAUCCAUUGUUUUGUAAAAGUGGCCAGCUACUUUCGGGAAAAGUAAUUCUUAUUGCUAACAAAAGGCAAUCUUAUGAUGUGACAAUAGAACUCAAAUUAGAAGGGACAAAUUUGGAAAGCAGUAGUAAUACCUUAGACCUAAAAAACCCUUACUUUAGGUAUACAGGAGCAGCAGCGCAACCGCCCCCUGGUUUAAAUAAUACUUCACCUAGUGAAUCUUAUUGGAAUUCUCUGGAUGCACAAGGUGCUCGGCAAGCUGUGAACAUGGUUAAUGGCAUGUCAGUUAAUGGUCUUGGUGAGGUUUCAAUGGAUACUAGCGCUGCAGUAAAUGCCAGUAAUUUACUUGCUAUUGGUGGUCAACCGAAUAUUCACCCAGGUUCGAUAACAAGUACUGGACGUGGCCGAGUAGGUGGUACAGCUACAAGUACACAAGCAGCACAAUUGAUAGGUGGUGGAAUAACACCCAAUAUGUUCACAUCUCCAGCUACUCUUGGUGUUACUUUCCAGCAAUCGCUGGUCCUUGGAAAUACGUCACAUUAUCCAGUAAAUCCAAGUUUAAUGAUUGGUGAUUAUGUGACACCUGGAAACGGCAUAUCACCUCAGACUUACCGGCAAUGAUCUAUGGCAAAAUCUUUUUGCACUGAAUAUUCUCGCAAAGUAAAACAAUUACAGAAUGAUCCUCGCCAUAGUAAUUCUAGCAACGUUGGUGACAAGGGCAACAGUAAACAAAGCCCGGUAACAGUGUCGCUUAUUUGAGUAAGCCUACAAUUGAUUCUGUAUUUGGAUUUGGUUGGGGUUCUGGAAGGAAUAAUUCUCAAUGGGAGGCACGUUGGAGGAGAUUGCGAGCCAUCCCCUCGUAGCUGUCAAUAUUUUGUACUGUCAUCUUUUAUUUCAUCGUCCUUUGAAGAUCGGAUCUUCCAGAUUGAAGUGCACGCUUGCCAAAUAUAUCCAGGAAGAUAUAAUAUUUUUUAACGACAAUACAGUUUACCAUAUGCAGCGUUCUACGCCUUACUAUUUUACCAAGUCCUGACAUGGUCUAUGCAUCAGUAAUUUGUAAGGAAUUGUAGACUGAUCAUAAAUCGUGUUGUGAUUUCUUGUUUUUUUCUUUAAAAGACUUUAAAACUUUUAGUACCAGCAAGAUAUCGGAGAUUGUACAUCGAUUAGUUGUUGGCAUAACUGGUUUUCAAUAUCAAAUGACUUUUACACAACUCGUAGAAUAGAAAACAACAUUUUUAACAUUUUGCAAAGUGCAAAGAGCAAUAAUCUGAUAAGCAUACAAUAUUAAGCACUCUGUGGCAGAAUUUAUUAUAUAAUUACAUACAA